rnacentral:lncRNA from 1 species
UGUUGAAGUUUCCUUUACAAUGAGGACAUUGUAGGAAUCUUUAUCUGGAUUUUUUUUUAGGGAUGUGGGAUACCAACUCCCUGGGCCUUGAAUUCAAGCAGGAUGGAUAACAUCAACCAGAACCACGAUAGCUCAGACGAAGGUUGUGUUCCCAAACCAAAGUCAAGCACAUGCUGAUGGAUUCCUGUUCUUCCCUUCUGCCCAGAUCAAAUCUUUUUAAAGUACAAAUGGUGUGUACGUAUUAGGUGCCAUGUGUAUGUGGUAUUGGGCGUGGCUGUACCCAUAACACAAAUUCAAAUGGGUUCUUCUAGAGACUUUGUCUAAAGAGGCUUUGACGGGAGCAAAUGGAAAGCUGCAGAUACCCCUCCAUAAGUUUAUGCAAUUCCUGCUGAACAUAGAAAACUUGUUGUCCAUCCCUGCAAACACAGCAUAUUAUACCUAAAUUGCAGCCUGUCAAGUAGUUCUGAAAUGCUCCAAGGAUCUGUAGAAACAAAUAGCUUUUAGAAUUCUUGUAGAAAAAGUACAUAUUCACAUCCUUUGGGUAAAUCCUUAAUUUAGUGUUAUACCUCAAUGACCAUUUCAGAAAUAAAAGUUAAGCCAGGGUAAUGUUAGCUACUGGAGAUGGGGGAAAAUCCCCCUUAGAUUAUUUAUUUUUUUGCUCCUUGAGGGUUUUGUUAUUCUGGAAUUUAUGAAUUCCUGCUCAUUCAUUCAAUCACAUUGCUUCCUGCACAUGCUACUAUCUGUGCAAAAUCACCUGGGCAGCAUGAUAAAUUCUUUAUUAAGCAGUGAUUUUGAUAAAGAGCUGCUUCUACCUUCUCAGCACUGUGGAUGGCAAAAAUGUCCCCUGGCUCAUUGGUUUUUGAGUUAAAGCUUAGUCAAAUGUGCCUCAGUGGGAUUUGUGUUCCACCACUGAGCUCCUGGGUGUUGGGUCUGGUCCUG